GCGGCUGGUGAGGCAGGAGGCUCAGCCUGAGGAAUUCACAGAUAAGUUUCUACUUAAAAAGAUUGAACAAUAAAAAGAAUUAGGACUCUAAACUUAAGUUAACAGAGCAGCUUAUCGAAAUAAUACUUAGUCUUAAUAAUCUAAGAAGAUUUUAAAGAUAACAUGAAGGCUUAUUUAAACAGUUUGAAAAAGGAAAAGAGAAGAAAAAUAUUUGUACAGUGUGAUGGAGGCUGACCUGAAGCAUUUAUCCAGAGCAGGUUAGGAGGUCGUAAGGGGAGGUGUUAACGAAGUUUUAAGAGGUUCUAGUUUGAGGGUCAGCCUUGUAGAUUAAAACGAAGGUUACCUAAACAGAAUCUAAAUGGCAUUUAAAACAGUAAAGUCGUAGACAAUAGUUUGAAAAUGAGGUGUAGUUUAAAACGAUUGAGAAAAAUAGGUUAAUGUGAAGGCUGUUAUAAAAGGCCUUUGGCGCAUAUAUGUUUGAAGGCAUGAGUUGGAAACUGUUAGGCUAGCCGGGCAGUGGUGGCGCACGCCUUUAAUCCCAGCCAGCACUCGGGCGCAGAGUGAGUUCCAGGACAGCCAGGGCUACGCAGAGCAACCCUGUCUCGAAAAACCAAAAAAAAAAAAAAGUCAGGUCAGGCUAGUAUUUGGAGAAAGA
rnacentral:lncRNA from 1 species